AGAGUUUGAUCCUGGCUCAGGAUGAACGCUGGCGGCGUGCCUAAUACAUGCAAGUCGAACGCUUCACUUCGGUGAAGAGUGGCGAACGGGUGAGUAAUACAUAAGUAACCUGGCAUCUACAGGGGGAUAACUGAUGGAAACGUCAGCUAAGACCGCAUAGGUGUAGAGAUCGCAUGAACUCUAUAUGAAAAGUGCUACGGGACUGGUAGAUGAUGGACUUAUGGCGCAUUAGCUGGUUGGUAGGGUAACGGCCUACCAAGGCGACGAUGCGUAGCCGACCUGAGAGGGUGACCGGCCACACUGGGACUGAGACACGGCCCAGACUCCUACGGGAGGCAGCAGUAGGGAAUUUUCGGCAAUGGGGGAAACCCUGACCGAGCAACGCCGCGUGAAGGAAGAAGUAAUUCGUUAUGUAAACUUCUGUCAUAGAGGAAGAACGGUGGAUAUAGGGAAUGAUAUCCAAGUGACGGUACUCUAUAAGAAAGCCACGGCUAACUACGUGCCAGCAGCCGCGGUAAUACGUAGGUGGCGAGCGUUAUCCGGAAUUAUUGGGCGUAAAGAGGGAGCAGGCGGCACUAAGGGUCUGUGGUGAAAGAUCGAAGCUUAACUUCGGUAAGCCAUGGAAACCGUAGAGCUAGAGUGUGUGAGAGGAUCGUGGAAUUCCAUGUGUAGCGGUGAAAUGCGUAGAUAUAUGGAGGAACACCAGUGGCGAAGGCGACGAUCUGGCGCAUAACUGACGCUCAGUCCCGAAAGCGUGGGGAGCAAAUAGGAUUAGAUACCCUAGUAGUCCACGCCGUAAACGAUGAGUACUAAGUGUUGGGGUUUCCCAGUGCUGAAGCUAACGUAUUAAGUACUCCGCCUGAGUAGUACGGUCGCAAGGCUGAAACUCAAAGGAAUUGACGGGCACCCGCACAAGCGGUGGAGCAUGCUGUUUAAUUCGAAGAUACGCGAAGAACCUUACCUAGACUUGACAUCCCUGGCAAAGCUAUAGAAAUAUAGUGGAGGUUACCCAGGUGACAGGUGGUGCAUGGUUGUCGUCAGCUCGUGUCGUGAGAUGUUCGGUUAAGUCCGCUAACGAGCGCAACCCUUAUCCUUAGUUGCUAACAUUUAGUUGAGAACCCUAAGGAGACUGCCGGUGACAAACCGGAGGAAGGUGGGGAUGACGUCAAAUCAUCAUGCCCCUUACGUCUAGGGCUACAGGCGUGCUAUAAUGGCUGGUACAAUGAGACGCAAUACUGUGAAGUGGAGCAAAUCUAUAAAGCCAGUCUCAGUUCGGAUUGAAGUCUGCAACUCGACUUCAUGAAGCUAGAAUCGCUAGUAAUCCCAAAUCAGAAUGUUGGGGUGAAUACGUUCCCGGGUGUUGUACACACCGCCCGUCAUGCCAUGAAAGUUUGUAAUACCCGAAUGUGGUAGCCUAACCUUUUAGGAGGGGGCCAUUUAAGGUAGGACAAGUGAUUGGGGUAAAGUCGUAACAAGGUAUCCCUACGAGAACGUGGGGAUG
rnacentral:rRNA from 1 species